GCGAGGUCCACUACCAUCAGCAGGCAACAGAGACACUCGAACCUGACUGAUCGCAGCAUGGCGGCCAACAUGCACCAGCCACCGAAGCCAUACCUGAGAAGACGAUACAUUCACUACCUCCAGCUGUUCCACCUUACGUGGUCCUGAGACAGAACAGGAGAAGAAGAGCCUGCACAGCUGUAGUUCCCCCUCCUAUCACUCCAACAGACACCUCGGUUCCCGCACGGCUGCAGCACACAUGGGUUCUCCACUAGACGGCAACAGAGGAUCAAUCGAGACCUUACAUUUAAAGCACCCUAUCUGUCAAAGGUACAGAACUAAGGUGGUUCCUCCUGUAGCCUCGGCAUACACCUCCAUUCAAGCAGGGAUUUGGCUCACAUCCAUCCUGUUCUGCAGAACAAACACACAUCUGUAUCAUAAGAUGGGAAAUCCUUCAUUCUGAGAGUGGUGUACCUGAGUCAUUGCAGCCACCCACUUGCACCUGAGAAUCAUCGAUACGAAAGACCCAGCGACCAGGAUAGCCCACAUUCGUGGUGGUUUCAACAUCAACAAUAUCAUCUGUCCGAGAGCCUG